GAGAUCUUCGGAUCUAGCGGCGGACGGGUUAGUAACGCGUGGGAACGUACCCAAAGGUAGGGAAUAGCCACUGGAAACGGUGAGUAAUACCCUAUGUGCCCUUCGGGGGAAAGAUUUAUCGCCUUUGGAUCGGCCCGCGUUAGAUUAGAUAGUUGGUGGGGUAACGGCCUACCAAGUCUACGAUCUAUAGCUGGUUUUAGAGGAUGAUCAGCAACACUGGGACUGAGACACGGCCCAGACUCCUACGGGAGGCAGCAGUGGGGAAUCUUGGACAAUGGGGGCAACCCUGAUCCAGCCAUGCCGCGUGAGUGAUGAAGGCCUUAGGGUCGUAAAGCUCUUUCGCCUGUGAAGAUAAUGACUGUAGCAGGUAAAGAAACCCCGGCUAACUCCGUGCCAGCAGCCGCGGUAAUACGGAGGGGGUUAGCGUUGUUCGGAAUUACUGGGCGUAAAGCGCGCGUAGGCGGACUGGAAAGUUGGGGGUGAAAUCCCAGGGCUCAACCCUGGAACUGCCUCCAAAACUAUCAGUCUAGAGUUCGAGAGAGGUGAGUGGAAUUCCGAGUGUAGAGGUGAAAUUCGUAGAUAUUCGGAGGAACACCAGUGGCGAAGGCGGCUCACUGGCUCGAUACUGACGCUGAGGUGCGAAAGUGUGGGGAGCAAACAGGAUUAGAUACCCUGGUAGUCCACACCGU
rnacentral:rRNA from 1 species